CGGAGGCUGCGCUGUCUAGCAGGCGCGCCGUUCUGGGCUGCGAGUGGCUCGCUGGGCAGAUCGUUGGGGACGUGGUGCUCCCGCUUCCAGGUCUCCGCUUCGUGUGUGCGCCCUGCACUUAGGGAUCUGUCCCUCACUGCCCUGGUACCCGCAAGCCUCUCGGCCCCUGACCUUCGCCCUGGGAGGUUCUGGCCAGGUACCGGGAGGGACGCUGUGUCGAGGGCGAUCCCCCCAAAGCAGCGUCCCGUGCUAAAGGUACUGCUUAGGAUGAACAUGAUUUGGAGAAAUUCCAUUUCCUGUCUAAGGCUAGGAAAGGUGCCACACAGAUACCAAAGUGGUUACCACCCAGUGGCCCCUCUGGGAUCAAGGAUUUUAACUGACCCAGCCAAAGUUUUUGAACACAACAUGUGGGAUCACAUGCAGUGGUCUAAGGAAGAAGAAGGAGCAGCCAGAAAAAAAGUAAAGGAAAACUCAGCUGUGCAAGUCCCUCUCGAAGAGCAAGUUAAGUAUGAGAGAGAAGCUAGUAAAUACUGGGAUACAUUUUACAAGAUUCAUAAGAAUAAGUUUUUCAAGGAUCGUAAUUGGCUGUUGAGGGAAUUUCCUGAAAUUCUUCCAGUUGUUCAAAAACCUGAAGAGAAGGCGAGAGAAUCAUCAUGGGAUCUUAUAAAUACGAGUGCUACAAAUUGUUUCUCAAGAAUACACUGUCCUACUAUGCCUGAAGAAAAAAAUCAUUAUGAGAAAAGUUCUGGCUCUUCAGAAGGUCAAAGCAAAACAGAAUCUGAUUUUUCCAACCUAGACUCUGAAAAACACAAAAAAGGACCUAUGAAGACUGGAUUGUUUCCCGGUAGCAAUGCCACUUUCAGGAUACUAGAGGUUGGUUGUGGAGCUGGAAAUAGUGUGUUUCCAAUUUUGAACACUUUGCAGAACUCUCCAGAGUCCUUUCUGUAUUGUUGUGAUUUUGCUUCUGGAGCUGUGGAGCUCAUAAAGUCACACUCGUCCUACAGAGCAGCCCAGUGUUUUGCCUUUGUUCACGAUGUAUGUGAUGAUGGCUUACCUUACCCUUUUCCAGAUGGGAUCCUGGAUGUCAUUCUCCUUGUCUUUGUGCUCUCUUCUAUUCAUCCUGACAGGAUGCAAGGUGUUGUAAACCGACUGUCCAAGUUACUGAAACCUGGAGGAAUGCUGUUAUUUCGAGACUAUGGAAGAUAUGAUAAGACUCAGCUUCGUUUUAAAAAGGGACGUUGUUUAUCUGAAAAUUUUUAUGUUCGAGGAGAUGGUACCAGAGCAUAUUUCUUUACAAAAGGGGAAGUCCACAGUAUGUUUUGCAAAGCCAGUUUAGAUGAAAAGCAAAAUCUGGUUGAUCGCCGCUUACAAGUUAAUAGGAAAAAACAAGUGAAAAUGCACCGAGUGUGGGUUCAAGGCAAAUUCCAGAAACCAUUGCACCAGACUCAGAAUAGCUCCAAUAUGGUAUCUACACUCCUUUCUCAAGACUGAACUUUGUAACAUGUUAAGGUACAAAGCCAGAGGACUGUUAUUCAAGGACUACUAUAAGUCUUUCGUUUCUCAAAAGACAAUGAGAAAAAAAGAAGAGAAUUUGUGUUUCCUGCUGUUUUGUCAUAGAGCCCUUGGACUUUUAUAUUUGUUUUCUACCAUGAUAUCACAAACCAUGAGUUUGUUGAUGCUUCAUAAAUCUGGAAAGAUGUGGCAUGGAUUUAGGAGAAAUAUACCCAGAGAUGUAAAGAGGAAGGAGACACUGGCCAACCAGAAGAUCACCCUCAUUCCUCAGUGAAGGAGAAAGGCCUGACUCCUACCUUGUAUAAGGGAACUAAGGGAACUGGGAUGACGUGAUGGUUAACUUUAGGUGUCAACUUGGCUGGAUUAAGGGAUACCUAAAUAGCCGGUAAAGCAUUAUUUCUGGAGAUUGGUAUGUGAGUCAGUGAACCGAGUGGGGAAGAGCUGCCCUCAAUGUGGGCGACCUGAAUAGAAUAAGGUAGAGGGAAGGUGAAUUUUCUCUCUCUCCUGGAACUAGGACACCCCCUUCUUCUCCUGCCUUUGAACUCCAGGUUAUCUGGCCUUUGGACUCUGGAACUUGCACAAGCAGCAUCUUUGGUUUUUAGGCCUUCAGCCUCAGACUGACAGUUACACUGUUGACUUCCCUGGUGCCGAGAUGUUUGUACUUGGACUGAGCUAUGCCACUGGCUUCCGUGGGUCUCCUGUUUGUAGAUGGCCUAUCAUGGGACUUCUCAGCCUGCAUAAUUCUAUAAUCAAAUGCUUAUUAAGCAUCUACUGUGUGCCAGAACUGUGCUGCAUACUGAGAAUACUGAAAUGCACGUGGCUUAUGAAAUGAACCCCCGCUCUUUAGAUGCCUGCAGUUCAGGAUAGAUGCCCAUUUGUCUGAAGUGUGGACCAUCAACUCUAAGAUGUUAGGGACUGUAUUUUGCAUCUAUCUCCAGCCCUGAAGCAGUAUCCAGAACUACAUUGUGCUGUAUGGAAGCUGUCAGCUACAUAGGAUGCCGUAGCCUGGUAUUUUCAAGAGCUGCCCGGGCUGUUCGAAGAGUGGCUAAUUUUCUACUGAAGGGACUGUGCCCGAAUCCCUGUCCCCCAAGUAAGAACACCCUAAGCCACUGAAGACAGGUGAGAAUUUUGAAAAGUCUCUUGAGUAUCUGAAUUCUCAGUGAGGGUCCAGAAUCUUAUUCAAUUUUUUUUUAACUUGUAUUAUUUCCCCCAGUUUAGUAAGUAAAACUUAUCUUCUGUAAUAAAAAAUAAAAAAAUAAAAAAUAAAA